rnacentral:rRNA from 1 species
GAUGAACGCUGGCGGCGUGCUUAACACAUGCAAGUCGAACGGUGAAAGCGGAGCUUGCUCUGCUGGAUCAGUGGCGAACGGGUGAGUAACACGUGAGCAAUCUGCCCCUGACUCUGGGAUAAGCGCUGGAAACGGCGUCUAAUACCGGAUACGAGCUGCGAAGGCAUCUUCAGCAGCUGGAAAGAACUUCGGUCAGGGAUGAGCUCGCGGCCUAUCAGCUAGUUGGUGAGGUAACGGCUCACCAAGGCGUCGACCAGUAGCCGGCCUGAGAGGAUGACCGGCCACACUGGGACUGAUAUACGGCCCAUGCUCCUACGGUAGGCAGCAGUGGGGAAUAUCGCACAAUGGGCGCAAGCCUGAUGCAGCAACCCCGCGUGAGGGAUGACGGCCUUCGGGUUGUAAACCUCUUUUAGUAGGGAAGAAGCGAAAGUGACGGUACCUGCAGAAAAAGCACCGGCUAACUACGUGCCAGCAGCCGCAGUAA